CAAUGUAUGGGAAGGGGGAGGCGGAGGAGGGUGGAGGAGGUUUUCUAGGUGAGGUUGGUCUCACCGGGGCUUCUUUCGGGCUUGGUGAGGACAGGGUAACCCCAACCAGAGACGAGUCAGAACGGCAGUGUUGGGAUUUACCAGCUGUCACUGUCCCUGCGUGUACAAGCCAGCUUGCGUCCCCUUUCCUCCCUCAUUCCUCAGCUUGCUUUCUGUUUAACAACCCUGGCUGCAUACUUCUCUAAGCCAAACCAUCUGUUUACUAGCUUUUUAUAAGCAGUAAUAAAGACAGUGAAGACCCAAGGGCCGUUUGGUCUCCAGGCGGCCUAGGAAGAAGUUGAAUGCCACGGCGGGGGCCGGGAGGGGCCGUGCCGGGCAGGACCCCGGCCUUCUGCCUGCGGCUGCCUGUUCAAAACCCAGUCUCCUUGCAGAGGAGCUGGGGCUGCCGUUCCCCUGCUCCCCUUCCCAUGGCCACAUCACAGGACUCGGGGGUCACCUGCCCCAGGGCGGGCUGCCUGCUGGAUCAGGAGCGAGCGGGGAGGCGCUGGGAAAUGAUCUGGGCUCACGGGGGGCCAAGAGGUCACUCUGAGCGAGUGUUCUGAGCCGUGAGUGAGCCCAGGAAAACAAUUCGACAACAAUGCCGAGUGCCUAGGUGACAGGGAAAAAAAAGAGGAGACUGUUUUGGGAACAGAUUUCGGCCUCCGCUUCCAAGGCAUUAGUAAUUCAAGCAGCAGUGAGUGUAAUAUUUACUUGGGAAACUAUGAAAAGUCUGUAACAAUGUUCUUUUCUCAGCUUUUAUCCUGGGCUUGCUCGGUUCUGAGCGCAGUCAGCCCCCUAAUCGCAAACAGAGGCUCGCUCAGCCAUUUGGCAGCAAGGUGUCUGCACGCCCGUCCCCCCCCCCCCCCCGCCCCCCGGGGCCCCAGGAGGCCCUGGAUAGCAGGUCCCACCCGGGCACUGGCGCAGGGACCCCAGCACUGCUUGGAGGAGGAGCGGGAAUGGUGCUGCUGCUGCUGAGAGUGUCUGGCCUGGUGCUUUAGGAAAUUUUCAACUUAUUUUAUUUCAUUUUUUGGUGAAGGGAAAAGGGCGGGGAGGGAGAGGGAGGGUGGCCAAUGGUCCCUGUUUGCCUGGGACACAAGAGGGCUUUUGGGCUACAGAACUUUGUGUUCUAAAACCAGAGAAUUCCCAAGCAAACCAGAAUGGGCUGGUCACCCUGGUGGGAGGGGACAUCCAUGGGGCAGGAGAAAGCACAGAAUUUAAUGUCAGGGUUUAUGGUUCGUCCUGAACUCAAGGUUUGCCCUCCCUGGGAAAGUCAGGUCACCUCCCAGGGCUCACCUGUAGAAGGGAGGGGUUGGACCUCUGUGGGGUAAUGUCAAUCCGCCCGGCUGCAGGCAGGGCAGGUAAGCUGAGUGGGAGGGGGCAGGUGUGAGGUCAUGGAUGCUCCAUGGGGGUGGUGGGGUCCUAGGAUACCCCAAGAGGAGGCUCUGUCCCUCCCCCAACCACCCCUCCCCCCCAGCCCAACAUAAUGCGGGUCCUGGUCUACCAGACUGAGUUUCUAAAGAAUUUUUUUUUUCUUGUGAAAGCUCCCAAAUUCUGAAGUGUUGGCUCCCAUUAAUGACAUCCUGCACAGGCCACACAAACACAGCUGACUGCCAAGUUGGCUUCUGGGCAACUGAUUUGCAACCUCUUGACUACACAUUUUCUGUUUCCUGUCAGUUCUAAAGUUCAAUGACUUUUUUUUUUUUUUUUAAUAAACUCCAGCCAGCCAUCCCCUUAGUUAACUGGAAAUGAAUCACAUGGUUUACUUUGAGAAAGAAUAAGCAAACAUAUAUGUUUCAAAAGCUGAUCUCAGGGGUUUAAUUCCAAAAAGUGGUUUCUGCUGUGGCCCAAGCUGGCAUCUCUCUCCACAGGCGUAGGUGCUGGAGAGUUCAGUGUUGCUAUGAGGUGGGGAACCUUGACAACAUGAUGCAAAACAGAAGAAGCCGGACACAGAAGUUCCCAUGUUGUAGGAUUCCACUUCCACGGAAGGGUCCAGAACAGAGUGGAGCCGGCCACAGAGCAGGAGACGAAAUACGGAGCUGCAUUGCUGUAGGCGAAGUCUUUUCUCCUGUUAACAUGUUACUCCGACACUUGUUGAAGACGACUCUGCGAGAAGACACAGAAACAUCUUUUGCUGAUACUGUUAUUACUUGGUUUUCAAAUCAGAGGAAUGAGGCUGCACCUGCCGUGGGCUGUGGCUCAGAUGGGAGAAUCGGAGCGGGGAACAGGGCUGGGGCUGGACCUCGGGCCAAGCAGGGGCCAGGAGAAGCACGGCAGGGAGCACGGGCAGGGUGCCUUUGCUGCUGUCUCCUUGCAGCCAGUCGGCCUGGGCUCAUGGCAGGGAGGGUCUGCACGCCGCCUGGAGACAGGGUUGUGACUCAGCGAAUCUGCUCCUUCAAGGAGCAUUUAUGGAGCACCGUCUGUAUGCCGAGGGCACUGUGGCAGGACCAGGAGGGACUUGAGCACAGAUCCGUGGUUUCUAUCACUCCCCGGAGUAACGACAGCUUCCUUCCUAAAAAGCGUUGCCGGCUCCUCCUGCCUGCAGGUGAAGUCUGAGCAACGGCCCAUUCCAGAGGCGGGAUGACGACCCUUGGCAGCCCAGACCCAGCUUGCCUGUUCAGCCCCUCCUCCAAAAUUCCUUGGGAAGCCCCUCUACCCUCCAAUCACAUCUGAUUCCUGGAUGUUUCUGGAAGGCAUCAAGCAUGCAUAACCUCCAUGCUCCAAAUUCCAUUCCCCCUGCCUCCACACCCUCUCCCCUGGACCUUUCCUGCCCAUCCUUCCAAACCACGUUAGUGGGCCUGGCCUCGUGGUCCUCCUGGAACACUCCUUUUACUCUCCCCACUCAAGCCCCACCCUCCCCGCAAGCCAGCAGCCGUCAUCACGCUGGCAUCCGGGCUCCCCUGGUGCUCCUGGCCAUCAGGGACAGACCGGAGAGUCACGAGUAUCUCCCAUGAUGUCUCUCCUCCUGAACUGUACGAGAGAAGAGCCGUGUCUUACUCAUCUCAGCCACCCAGCGCCUGGCACUCAGUGAACUGUCCAGGCAACGAGGGUGAGAAAUGUUUUCACCUAAGGAUCUGCAGAAACUUCCCCAGGGUUGGGAGGCCAGGAACCCCCACGAUGGCUGCAGCCUCCCUUCUGACUGACGAUUCUGACUUCUGAUUAAUUUUCAUUCAACUCCCAGUAUAAAUAGCUCCCUUUCCCCAUAUCAGAAAACAUCUGCUCCCAUGAGCUGCCCAGGCUCGUACCAGCACUAUAAAUAUCUUGGCCGCAUCACGGCCGCCCUGGCACGGGGACCAAGAGAACUUGAGAAGCGUGAACACCAAGCAAGAGAAGGGCAGCGGGAACGAAGAAGCAAGAUUGCUCAACCUCUCUCUCUUACACCUCCAAGCACAGGCUGACGGUGCUUCCCACUCGGGCUUGGAAACCCCCUCGGUAUUCCUGGGAAUUCGGCAGAGACGGAUGAACGUCAGCUACUCCUGGUCUCGUGGUCUUCAGCUCACCGUCUGCUGCAAAGGCCCAGAUCCUCUCUCACCGGGUGACAGGCAGCUUGAAAUGCAGGUCGAGGCAGCCCUCCCCAUCCAGCUGGGCUCUGGAGAUGCAGGGUGGGCGCUGAUACAGCUUCGAAAGUGUCGCUUUUCUUGCACUUUUUUUUUUUUUUAAGAUUUUAUUUAUUUACUUGACAGGCAGAGAUCACAAGUAGGCAGAGAGAGGCAGGCAGAGAGAGAGAGAGGGGGAAGGAGGCUCCCCACCGAGCAGAGAGCCCGAUGCGGGGCUCGAUCCCAGGACCCCGAGAUCAUGACCUGAGCCAAAGGCAGAGGCUUAACCCACUGAGCCAUCCAGGCGCCCCUUCACGCACUUUUUUAAGGAGUCAUGUCAUUGUUUGCUCCUUGAAGCUACUUUUUCUAUGUCAUAAACCAUAAACUAUGACAUAGUUUCUAUGUCAUAAACUAAAUUCCGCAUAGUGCCGUGGUCUAGAAACUGCAUGGAUUUCUAGGAGGAUACAAGGGGGUAGCGGUUAGUAUUUGGGAGAAGGGACAUGGGAAAACCGUCGGGCUCCAUCUAAAAACCCCAGUGGCGAUGUCACACGCUAUGUUUGUGAAGCUGGGGUGCAGGACAGACAGAGUUUGUGGGUACCCAGGAGUGAAAGCCCCUUCUUCACUCCCCGGCUUGUUGGACUCUCCCUCGCGGGGCUGGUUUUGUCUUCAAACCCCCCGGUGAAAUGUCUGGUAGCCCAGGGACCUCCAGGGGCUGCUGGAUAACAAAACGUUUGCUGGUCGGUUUGCCUACGCGGCUCAGCUGCUCCUGACCGGAGGAAGCUGUGCUAGGGUGCAGGGGAGGGGCCCUUCUCGAAGCAUCCUCCCUGUAGGAGUCUGGGUUCUCCAGAGAAACAGGACCAUUUCACAGAUUUCCUAUCACGAAUUGGACUCCGAGGAUCAUGGAGGCUGAGGAGUCCGAGAUUUGCGGUCGGCAAGCACGCGGCCCGCGGCCCGAGGGCCGAAGGUGUCAGUUCUGCUCUGAGUCAAGUCCAAAGGCAGAGACCAACGUCCCCGCUGGAGGACAGUCAGACAGACGGAGAAUUCUUUCUCACUCAGGCUUUCGUUCUACUCGGGCCUUCAGGGCAUUGGCGGAGGCCCCGUCACCCCAGGGCGGCCUCUCCGCGGACUCAAACGCGGAUCUGGUCCAGAAACACCCUCCGAGACGCGCCCAGAAAUAAUGUCUGACCCAACAUUCGGACACGCCGUGGUGCAGUCAAGUGACAGACACAGCAAACCCUCACGCUUGAUUUCCCCACGUGUUCCAUCAACCUCCUUUCCUGCCACUCGGUGGGCGGCCUCAGCCCCUCCAGGGUGAAGUGGGGUGGGGGGGACCCCUGCAAUCGGCCACUGCUUCCUUUGGCCACAACAGAUGUUUGAAGCUGACUUCUUCUCCUGUGAGCAGCUUUGGGACUCCUCGGUGACUCCCCGUGGCCUGGGCAUCACUCCGCCAUAGUUCUCUGAGGGGACGGGGAUGUCCAGCAAGUGCCUUAGCAUCUUGGCUCAGUCCUUUUUCCCAGCAGCCCCUGGGGCCCGUCUAGUCUGUGGGAAAAUCGGAGACGAGGGGCUCUGUACUAAUCGGGCAGGCACCCAUCCUCGUUCUGACUUUAGCGUUGUCGUCAUGAAGAGUUCUCGGACAUGCAGCAGACACCAGUUGUCUGGUCCUGUGGACCUCUGGGCACGCAUGUCAGCUCCGAGGGGCUCCCUCGAGGACCCUCUUACCAUGUUCCCUCCCAUCAUUCAUGGGGCACAGGGGAAUGGGAGGGAAAGUGCCAAGGCACAUGAUAACUCCUCUGAAGACAUCAUCUCUCUGAUUUCUGGCCACUUCCCAUGUCUGGUUGGUCACAGCUUCCCCAACAGCUCUUUCCAGGUCCUGCUGAGCAGGUCUAAGGCCUCCCUUUGGAACAUGGGGGUAUUGGCGCCCACUAGUUCUCUGCCUUAGAACUGAAACAGCAUCAUUUUUUUUUUUUUUUUUAAUUUAUCUGACAGAGAGAGAUCACAAGUGGGCAGACAGGCAAGCAGAGA